rnacentral:pre_miRNA from 1 species
UACCCUGUAGAACCGAAUGUGUGGACAUGCUUCAGCACAGGUUGGGUUCUGGGGGAGUC